AAAGGCCACCACGAAAGCCUUCUUAUUUAGUCUGAGCUUUCACAAUUCCAGGCUCUUGCCAGUCUCAGGAUUUUUCUCGUGAAUGAACCAGGAAGGUCCAAGACAUGUGGGCUUAAAGCCAUCCCUCACUGAUCCCUGCUAGCAGAUGAAUAUAUCGGAAGGUGAUGAGUACGAAGGAGCUUGGCUGCCAGCCAGGCGGUGUCGGAAAAGGAUGGGAAUUAUGUUGUUGUGAACCUAAAGCUGCUCCAGGAAAGUCUAUCGAAAAGUUAAAAACAUUUAAAUAAACAAAUAAAAGGAUGAGAAUGUUGAAAUGCUAAAA
rnacentral:lncRNA from 1 species